rnacentral:lncRNA from 1 species
UAAUUCAUGGGUUAAUGGGUUAGCUCGAGUUAAGUCCAUUUAAUUGGGUUAGACCUAGGGUUAGAAAUCAUUGAUAAUAGACCAUGUUAGUAAUUGAUCAAAUCUAAUUAAUAGUUAAUUCUGAUUGGAUCAAUUUCUUCUCUUGAUCAAUUUUCAAUAGUUAUAAUUGGUCGAGUCUAUAUUUUUAAUUAGACUAAGAUAGACCUUGAUCGUAGCUCCAUGGUCGAACCCAAGUUUAUAAGUUGAUCAAAUUGAAACUAUUUAACUAGUUGGUGUCUAAGAUAAGUUUGGCAGCUU